AUUCGCGUCUGAGAAAACGUG
rnacentral:snRNA from 1 species